rnacentral:sRNA from 1 species
UGCCACGUAAGUAUUAAUUUCGACAACUCGAGACAAGUGAAAUCUGAAAUCUGGGCUUCGGGGAAAGAAAUCGUCCCGCUUUGUCCGACAAAAGUAAACCCUUCGAGCGGCAAGUACCGACAAAUGAAUGGUCCGACAAACUCGAGGAUGAGAUAUCUAUCAGGCAAUUUCUUGAAAGAACUUCCAAGGUGAGAACGGUCUCACAUCAUUUUUUUGAUUUCCGCGGGCUUUAAGAAGAAGAACCCUGUUCAACGCAACCUGUCAUGUCAGCGCUUUUUGCGAGAGAGGAACAUGUUUGGUGUUUUUGAGCAUCCGCGAACGAACCGAAAUACCUCCCAGAUAAGAUUUGUAACUCCUUGAAAACGCCACGGUGGGGGGGGGGGAUGAUAUGAAUUGCUGAUGCACAAGUGCCCCUCCUGCCUGAUGUCAUUGGAUGCGCGGAGGAAAAGCCCGUGAAACCCGCAUCGCAUUGCGCUGUCGACGAUAGUGAGGGAAGUCGUCUUGUGUGGCUUGGGGUGGAGUGGUGGGCGGAUGUGUCAAAUGUUUUAAGUCAGGCGGGAAUGGACAUCACAUACGUGCUACGUGUUUUGAAGGUCAUUUUCAAUGAUGGCCGACCUUGAUGCGAUUGGCUGGAUAGCCCUCCAUGGAUACGGACCCUGCCACAUGGUAACAUGAUGCAAUUUUCUCCAGCAAGUUCUGGGUUUUAGCUUGAGAUUCCAACCGGCAAAAACUGCCUUCUUUAAAAUUACAUGUACUAGUCACCGCUCGGGGUUGGAGGGUGACAAUAGCCCAGGGUAUCGGUAACAGUAUCUCAACACAUCUCCUGUGUAGCUGGC